CACAUUCAAUGACAUAGCCGGUAGAGCACGUAACUAGUAUUUGAGUAGGAAAGUUGUGUAUUUAGGCAUCAUGAAAUGACUUUUGAUGAACCAAUGUCCACCAGCAAAUGUCACACCGCACUGCAGAUGCCAAACACUGUUAGCAACUGUAAAGCUGAAUUUGAAUGGAAGAGCUGAGCAGAAUCAUCUAGGAC
rnacentral:lncRNA from 1 species